AUGCUCUACGGGGGGCAGCAGUGAGGAAUAUUGGUCAAUGGACGAGAGUCUGAACCAGCCAAGUAGCGUGAAGGAUGACUGCCCUAUGGGUUGUAAACUUCUUUUAUAUGGGAAUAAAACGUUCCACGUGUGGGAUUUUGUAUGUACCAUAUGAAUAAGGAUCGGCUAACUCCGUGCCAGCAGCCGCGGUAAUACGGAGGAUCCGAGCGUUAUCCGGAUUUAUUGGGUUUAAAGGGAGCGUAGGUGGAUUGUUAAGUCAGUUGUGAAAGUUUGCGGCUCAACCGUAAAAUUGCAGUUGAAACUGG
rnacentral:rRNA from 1 species